rnacentral:rRNA from 1 species
AGCUGCGGCAGCGACGCUUAUGCGUUGUUGGGUAGGGGAGCGUUCUGUAAGCCUGCGAAGGUGUGCUGUGAGGCAUGCUGGAGGUAUCAGAAGUGCGAAUGCUGACAUAAGUAACGAUAAAGCGGGUGAAAAGCCCGCUCGCCGGAAGACCAAGGGUUCCUGUCCAACGUUAAUCGGGGCAGGGUGAGUCGACCCCUAAGGCGAGGCCGAAAGGCGUAGUCGAUGGGAAACAGGUUAAUAUUCCUGUACUUGGUGUUACUGCGAAGGGGGGACGGAGAAGGCUAUGUUGGCCGGGCGACGGUUGUCCCGGUUUAAGCGUGUAGGCUGGUUUUCCAGGCAAAUCCGGAAAAUCAAGGCUGAGGCGUGAUGACGAGGCACUACGGUGCUGAAGCAACAAAUGCCCUGCUUCCAGGAAAAGCCUCUAAGCAUCAGGUAACAUCAAAUCGUACCCCAAACCGACACAGGUGGUCAGGUAGAGAAUACCAAGGCGCUUGAGAGAACUCGGGUGAAGGAACUAGGCAAAAUGGUGCCGUAACUUCGGGAGAAGGCACGCUGAUAUGUAGGUGAAGUCCCUUGCGGAUGGAGCUGAAAUCAGUCGAAGAUACCAGCUGGCUGCAACUGUUUAUUAAAAACACAGCACUGUGCAAACACGAAAGUGGACGUAUACGGUGUGACGCCUGCCCGGUGCCGGAAGGUUAAUUGAUGGGGUCAGCGCAAGCGAAGCUCUUGAUCGAAGCCCCGGUAAACGGCGGCCGUAACUAUAACGGUCCUAAGGUAGCGAAAUUCCUUGUCGGGUAAGUUCCGACCUGCACGAAUGGCGUAAUGAUGGCCAGGCUGUCUCCACCCGAGACUCAGUGAAAUUGAACUCGCUGUGAAGAUGCAGUGUACCCGCGGCAAGACGGAAAGACCCCGUGAACCUUUACUAUAGCUUGACACUGAACAUUGAGCCUUGAUGUGUAGGAUAGGUGGGAGGCUUUGAAGUGUGGACGCCAGUCUGCAUGGAGCCGGCCUUGAAAUACCACCCUUUAAUGUUUGAUGUUCUAACGUGGACCCGUGAUCCGGGUUGCGGACAGUGUCUGGUGGGUAGUUUGACUGGGGCGGUCUCCUCCUAAAGAGUAACGGAGGAGCACGAAGGUUGGCUAAUCCUGGUCGGACAUCAGGAGGUUAGUGCAAUGGCAUAAGCCAGCUUGACUGCGAGCGUGACGGCGCGAGCAGGUGCGAAAGCAGGUCAUAGUGAUCCGGUGGUUCUGAAUGGAAGGGCCAUCGCUCAACGGAUAAAAGGUACUCCGGGGAUAACAGGCUGAUACCGCCCAAGAGUUCAUAUCGACGGCGGUGUUUGGCACCUCGAUGUCGGCUCAUCACAUCCUGGGGCUGAAGUAGGUCCCAAGGGUAUGGCUGUUCGCCAUUUAAAGUGGUACGCGAGCUGGGUUUAGAACGUCGUGAGACAGUUCGGUCCCUAUCUGCCGUGGGCGCUGGAGAACUGAGGGGGGCUGCUCCUAGUACGAGAGGACCGGAGUGGACGCAUCACUGGUGUUCGGGUUGUCAUGCCAAUGGCACUGCCCGGUAGCUAAAUGCGGAAGAGAUAAGUGCUGAAAGCAUCUAAGCACGAAACUUGCCCCGAGAUGAGUUCUCCCUGACCCUUUAAGGGUCCUGAAGGAACGUUGAAGACGACGACGUUGAUAGGCCGGGUGUGUAAGCGCAGCGAUGCGUUGAGCUAACCGGUACUAAUGAACCGUGAGGCUUAACCUU